UACGAAGGGUGCAAGCGUUACUCGGAAUUACUGGGCGUAAAGCGUGCGCAGGCGGCUGUGCAAGACAGAUGUGAAAUCCCCGGGCUUAACCUGGGAAUGGCAUUUGUGACUGCACGGCUAGAGUGUGUCAGAGGGAGGUAGAAUUCCACGUGUAGCAGUGAAAUGCGCAGAUAUCGGGAGGAACACCAAUUGCGAAGGCAGCUCGCUGGGACGUCACUGACGCUGAGACGCGAAAGCGUGGGGAGCAAACAGG
rnacentral:rRNA from 1 species